CCUACGGGAGGCUGCAGUGGGGAAUAUUGGACAAUGGGCGAAAGCCUGAUCCAGCCAUGCCGCGUGUGUGAAGAAGGCCUUCGGGUUGUAAAGCACUUUCAGUGGGGAAGAAAGCCUUGGGGCUAAUACCCUCGAGGAAGGACAUCACCCACAGAAGAAGCACCGGCUAACUCCGUGCCAGCAGCCGCGGUAAUACGGAGGGUGCGAGCGUUAAUCGGAAUUACUGGGCGUAAAGCGCGCGUAGGCGGUCUGAUAAGCCGGUUGUGAAAGCCCCGGGCUCAACCUGGGAACGGCAUCCGGAACUGUCAGGCUAGAGUGCGGGAGAGGAAGGUAGAAUUCCCGGUGUAGCGGUGAAAUGCGUAGAGAUCGGGAGGAAUACCAGUGGCGAAGGCGGCCUUCUGGACUGACACUGACGCUGAGGUGCGAAAGCGUGGGUAGCAAACAGGAGUAGAUACCCGAGUAGUC
rnacentral:rRNA from 1 species